GUUUUAAUCUAAACCGUUUAUGAUUAGAUCUAAAGGUCGUGAUUUAUUCUCAUGAUCUCACAUAAAAACACAUUUCUCAUAAGAUGUAUCUCAAGAGAAAGGUAACUUUAUGUGAGAAAAUAAGAAUAAAUCACGACCGUUAGAUCUGAUCAUGAACGGUUCAGAUUAAGAC
rnacentral:pre_miRNA from 1 species